rnacentral:lncRNA from 1 species
UCCCCUGUGUGGCUUACCACACCUCGCACAAACUGCAUUAUCCGCACCAGAGCUUGAGCCACUCCCAAAUCCCAGACUAGACUUGACUUUAUUCCAGAACUUAUUCUUCUUACCCUUGGGCUUACCCCAUCUCUUACUGCCUGAAGCUGCUGCACUCAGGGUAGAGGGAUCUAAUCUUCCCCCACCCGGAGUUUUAGAAC